GCUUACCAUGCAAGUCGAGCGGGGGAGGUAGCUUGCUACCGGACCUAGCGGCGGACGGGUGAGUAAUGCUUAGGAAUCUGCCUAUUAGUGGGGGACAACAUCUCGAAAGGGAUGCUAAUACCGCAUACGUCCUACGGGAGAAAGCAGGGGAUCUUCGGACCUUGCGCUAAUAGAUGAGCCUAAGUCGGAUUAGCUAGUUGGUGGGGUAAAGGCCUACCAAGGCGACGAUCUGUAGCGGGUCUGAGAGGAUGAUCCGCCACACUGGGACUGAGACACGGCCCAGACUCCUACGGGAGGCAGCAGUGGGGAAUAUUGGACAAUGGGCGCAAGCCUGAUCCAGCCAUGCCGCGUGUGUGAAGAAGGCCUUAUGGUUGUAAAGCACUUUAAGCGAGGAGGAGGCUACUUUAGAUAAUACCUAGAGAUAGUGGACGUUACUCGCAGAAUAAGCACCGGCUAACUCUGUGCCAGCAGCCGCGGUAAUACAGAGGGUGCAAGCGUUAAUCGGAUUUACUGGGCGUAAAGCGCGCGUAGGCGGCUAAUUAAGUCAAAUGUGAAAUCCCCGAGCUUAACUUGGGAAUUGCAUUCGAUACUGGUUAGCUAGAGUGUGGGAGAGGAUGGUAGAAUUCCAGGUGUAGCGGUGAAAUGCGUAGAGAUCUGGAGGAAUACCGAUGGCGAAGGCAGCCAUCUGGCCUAACACUGACGCUGAGGUGCGAAAGCAUGGGGAGCAAACAGGAUUAGAUACCCUGGUAGUCCAUGCCGUAAACGAUGUCUACUAGCCGUUGGGGCCUUUGAGGCUUUAGUGGCGCAGCUAACGCGAUAAGUAGACCGCCUGGGGAGUACGGUCGCAAGACUAAAACUCAAAUGAAUUGACGGGGGCCCGCACAAGCGGUGGAGCAUGUGGUUUAAUUCGAUGCAACGCNNNAACCUUACCUGGCCUUGACUAGUAAGAACUUUCCAGAGAUGGAUUGGUGCCUUCGGGAACUUACAUAC
rnacentral:rRNA from 1 species